rnacentral:rRNA from 1 species
UAGGGAAUUUUCCGCAAUGGGCGCAAGCCUGACGGAGCAACGCCGCGUGAGUGAAGACGGCCUUCGGGUUGUAAAACUCUGUUCUUGGGGAAGAAGAAAGUGACGGUACCCAAGGAGAAAGCCCCGGCUAACUACGUGCCAGCAGCCGCGGUAAUACGUAGGGGGCAAGCGUUAUCCGGAUUUAUUGGGCGUAAAGCGCGCGCAGGCGGUCAGGUAAGUCGGAUGUGAAAGGCUACGGCUCAACCGUAGAGCGGCAUCCGAAACUGCUUGACUUGAGUGCAGGAGAGGAGAGUGGAAUUCCCGGUGUAGCGGUGGAAUGCGUAGAGAUCGGGAGGAACACCAGUGGCGAAGGCGACUCUCUGGACUGUAACUGACGCUGAGGCGCGAAAGCGUGGGGAGCAAACAGG